rnacentral:rRNA from 1 species
CCCCUAGAUGUUCUGGGCCGCACGCGCGCUACACUGAUGCAUUCAACGAGUUUCUUCCUGGUCCGAGAGGAAUGGGUAACCUUUUGAAAGUGCAUCGUGAUAGGGAUAGACUAUUGCAAUUAUUGGUCUUCAACGAGGAAUUCCUAGUAGACGUAGUUCAUCAGACUGCAUCGAUUACGUCCCUGCCCUUUGUACACACCGCCCGUCGCUCCUACCGAUUGAAUGCUCAGGUGAGCCAUUCGGACCUUCAUCAUGCCGGUUUCCGGUUUUGAUGAGGGAAAGUCUUGCGAACCUUAUCAUUUAGAGGAAGGAGAAGUCGUAACA